ACGUUUUGAUUUUUCAUUGUAAACAAAUAUUGAUUAAAAUUGUACUGUGAUUUCAGGAGUGUCUUAAAAACCCUCUAAAACAGAGGGGAGGUUCCAAGAAAAUUUCUAAUGGGAGCUGCUGACAGAGAUAGAAAACACAGUUUGUUUAUUUCUAAUAAGGAGCUGGAGGCUGUGGAGAAGCAGAUCCGUGACCUCGUGGAGAAGCAGGCCCAGCUGAGAGAGUGGAGAGCUGUGCUGGAAACAUUCAGGGGUUGACGCUCAUAAGUCCAGGCGUAAGACAUGAGCCAGGACCUGGGCGAUGACCUCUCUCCUUCCAACGCCUCCGGUCUUCAGGAUCUCCACCUGCAGGAGCUCCACUUCGCGAGACAGAACACGACACUGUUAUCAU